UUAGAAACAUCUCCCUUGCUCUAGAGUGUGCCCAGUCUUCAAGCUACGAAUUUUCUCCCAUCUUCAAGCUAUAAGAUCUGUCCAUCAAAGCACCCACCACCACUAUUGCUCACACAUCACCAAAGAUUAUCGCCAUCUUUGUGAUUCGUUCGUGAGUGUCUCUAUCAUUCCAAAGAGAACAUUUUGAAAUGAGUUUGAGGAGAGAAAAGUGCAAGAUACCAAGUUAUAUAGUGAGCAAGCCACAAUAUCACUUCCAAGGAGCAUAUGGUGUUGCGUUGUGCAGUAGCUUAGGGACACUAAGCGCCAACUUUAAAAUUUGCAAGUUAAUGGCCAUUUCGUGAAAAGAUGUUGACCGAUGGUUAUGCUGUUCUGCACCCCCAAGUCAGAGAGCUUUUGCAAUCCUGGCACUGAGCGCACCCACUGAUGAGCACUAGUCUUCUUAGCUUUUCUCUUUUUUUGUGUUUUAUGAUUCCAAUGCUUUUUGGUCUUUGAUUUAUGUUGUCUAAUAUAUUAAUGAUGUGUAUCUACUAUAAUAUGGUGUGCUUGAUGGUAAUGUGAAGAAUUAUGCUGAAGGAAGUCAUAUUUGUUAUAGUUAGUAGGACGUGCAUUGAUAUAAGGAGUUAAUAGUGAAAGUUUAUUUUGAUACUCUAA